GCUGCGAGUUCAUGAGCAAGUGAAGAACUUUGGGAAAAAUAUUGAACUUCAUACAAGUACAGAACUGCUAGUGCUAGACUCCCCCAAUUCCUAUUCACAAGCAAUAAGUAUUAGCAGAAACUUUUUAACACAUUUAAACUACAAUUAUCAAUCAUGCAUCCCUGGCUUUAACACUGACUUCUGUAAGGGGUUGGAGAAGAGUCUUCGGGCUUGGAGGACGGGUACUGAACUUGCGAACCAAGAUCACAAAACAUGGCAGAAACACUAGAUAAAGUCCUGCUGUGAUGAAUGGUACAGCAACAAGCCAGCCCAACAUCGCACGGAAAAUGCUGAACAAGACUUCCUUUGAAGCCUCGCCAGAGAAGACUUUUUUUAGUGCAUCAGCAGUCAAAG
rnacentral:misc_RNA from 1 species